rnacentral:rRNA from 1 species
UACAGAGGGUGCGAGCGUUGUUCGGAAUUAUUGGGCGUAAAGGGCGCGUAGGCGGCGCCACAAGUCACUUGUGAAAACUCUGGGCUCAACUCAGAGCCUGCAAGCGAAACUGUGGUGCUGGAGUAUGGGAGAGGUGAGUGGAAUUCCCAGUGUAGCGGUGAAAUGCGUAGAUAUUGGGAGGAAUACCGGUGGCGAAGGCGGCAUCCUGGACCGGCAUUGACGCUGAGUGAGCGAAAGCCAGGGGAGCAAACGGG